UGUUGCUGUUGGCGAGCUGUCCCUUUUGGGUUGUGCCGUGGUUCAGUUCCAUGAGUAAUUCAAUGGAGGUUUAAUUUCCCCUUCCCUGUGGCUCCCGUGACGCGGCGCUCACAGGAGCGGUCUAUGUGCCCUGCCCCGUAUCGGGGCCCCCCAGUCUUCACCCAUUUUUAACAGCCGUUGGCAUCCAGCUUAUUGGUGCAUUACCGCCACCUUCUGUUCCGGGGUUCCGGUUCAAUGAGCUGUCAAUCAAAAUCUCACAAGCCAAUAAGAGCAAACCGCUGUUAAGCCCGCCCCUCACGAGAGGUUUGUGUCAAAAUGGAGAACGUAAAUUUGCGAAGCGCAAACGAAAACUUGGAAAGCGAAAACGAAAACAAUUGCAGCACAUUCAAAACUAUAUUUAGUGAAAUUGAAACUUAGAAAACCAUAAACAAAGAAUGCAGUAUAUUUAAAGAUGAUGUUAAUUUUUUUGCUAGUUAGUUGUUUUUAUUUUCAGAGUGUUUUUUUUCUUUUAUCAAUGUAUAUUUUUGUUUGUUUUUGCAAAAGUUGCGUUCGUUUAAUUUGACACAAAUAUAAUUCCAUAGUUUGGCCAUUCUAGUUCAUCAAUCAGCAGAAAGCGGAUUAAGCGCAGGUAUCCGUACUGUUCACGCUUGUUUAUAUAUUCAUAUUUUACAAAAAGAACAUAACUCCUCGUUUAACAUAAUCUCAGAUUUGAAAGUGUAAAAAUGUUAACUGUAUGCAAGCAAAAUAAAAAACACUUGUGCUUUGGUCAUCCGGAAAGAGUGUAUAUAAAAGGUAAAAAUAGUGUAAUGACUUUGAUCCCUUAUUUAGACUUAUUUUAUUCAUUUAAUGACUGGACACAAUUUUUAAUAAAGUCAAAUCAGUUUUUUUGUAACAAGUAAAUACAUUAGUUGAACAACACAUUUUGCCGCGCCUGCUGGCGUAUUUCUGUAAUAUGGAAAAAUGGUCACUGAAUGAAUCAGUGAACGAAUCUGAAAUAAUCAUUUUCCACCACUAAUUCGUAGCCAUCUACUGCUUAGUCUUGAUUUUUUAAUCUUGAUCUGUUCUGCAGUCCUCAACAAUAGCUAUUCAAUCAUGCCACAUGUACAAUCAAAGUACAUGUCCUACAUAUUGGUCGCUAAUGAGAACAUACCAAGGGCAACAGAAUACAGACACAGGAAGGUAAAUAUUAUUUGUAUCAUUAUUUUAAAUUGUUGAUAUGUUUUUCUUGUUCUUCUUAUAAUUAUGGCAGUAGUCGCCCUACUACUUCUAAAAUACUACUACUAAUAAUACUAAUAAUAAUAAGAAGGCCCUAGUAUAGCAGUACUAACAAUAAUAUUAAUAAAAAAAUUAUAAUGUUAUAAAAGGAUAAUAGCUAGUAGCAGAACAAGCAAUGGAGAAAGCCUACUUGAUAUUCAUAAUAAGUAGUAGGCUAGCUCCACCAUCUUAUAGGCUAGCUAUACACUCUAAAAAAACAAACGGUGCUAUAUAGCACCAAAACUGUUGCUUUGGAUCGUAACCAUAGAAGAACCAUUUUUAGUGCCAUAUAGCACCGGUGAAGCACCUGUGUAGCACCUGUGUAGAACCAUAUAGGGGCCAUAUAGCACCACUAUAGCACCACAUAUGGUUCUACAUAGCACUAUAUGGUUCUACACAGGUGCUUCACUGGUGCUUCACCGGUGCUAUAUGACACUAAAAACGGUUCUUCUAUGAUUACGAGCAAAGAACCACUUUUGGUGCUAUAUAGCACUGUUUGUUUUUAGAGUGUACUGUUUUGAAAUUGUUUUUUGUUUCAGUGAAAAGGCAGAAGACAUAAACAGUACAAGCAAUACCUUUGCAGCACUGGUGUUGAAGUCCCUAACCGAAUUUUAGGAUGUCAUGACAGAGAACUUCCAGCUCACCAUGAUGCACCACUGCAGCCAACAGCAGGAAAACGGAAGAGAGCUGACAGUAAGAAUGGAUCAUCUGCUGAUGAUAAACUGCUUGAUAUAGAGAACACCAGACCAUACAAGGACCAGAGGCUGAGAGACCCAACCCAAAUCCGUCACAG